GCGCCAGUAGCUCAAUCGGAUAGAGCAACGGCCUUCUAAGCCGUGGGUUGGGGGUUCGAUUCCCUCCUGGCGUA
rnacentral:tRNA from 1 species